rnacentral:rRNA from 1 species
AUGAAGGGUUAUCAUAAUGCUUUGAAGAAAAUAAUUGUGGACGAGUCCCCUUCUGCUUAUUAUGUCCAUUGCUUUGCCCAUCAACUUCAGGUAAAUAUGGUUGCUGUUGCUAAGCAGAAUGUUCAUGGUGGUUGGUUCUUUUAUCACCUUCAAUAUUUGAUGGAUUUUCUUGUGAUGUGCUGUGAAAAGAUAAGAAUGCUUGGAGUAGCUCAAGCUGAGUAUAUCAUCGAAACAUUUGAACUGGAAGAAACUGAAGCUGAAUAUGGUCUUGAUCGAGAGAGCCUGGGAACACCUUGUGAUACUCCUCGGGGAUCCCGCUAUGAAAAUGUGAUGCAUGUUAUCUCUUUAUAUCCUGCAAUUUGGGAAAUUCUCUGUAUGAUUGGGGAUGAGCAUAAUGGCAUAAAAUCACUACGAGCUCAAGAGGUGUCUUAUGCAUUCGAGACAUUUGAGUUUGUCUUUAUAGCACACUUGCUGCAAACUAUAUUUGAGUAUACAGAUGGCUUAUGCAGUGCUUUGCAAAAGAGGGAUCAAGAUAUUGUUAAUGCUAUCGAUCUUGUUAGCGCGACAAAGAAACGGUUGCAGUUACUGCGGGAAGAUGGUGAAUGGGAAAGUUUUCUUCAGAAGGUCACCUCUUUUUGUGUGAAACAUGACAUCGAACUUGUGGACAUGGAUGGUUUGUAUGACCCGAUCGGGAGAUCUCCAAAGUUCUACGAAAAGGCCACGAAUCUUCAUUACUACCACGUUGAUAUGUUUUUGGAUGUAAUUGAUAGUCAACUUCGAGAACUUGAUGGCAUGUUUGAUGAGGUCAACACGGAGUUACUGAUUUGCAUGGCAGCAUUCAAUCCCGCCGACUCAUUUGCUGCUUAUGAUGAGGAAAAGCUGGUUAAGCUUGCCCACUUUUAUCCCGAGGAUUUUUCACAGUCUGAGUUGUUGCAUCUUCCCUUCCAACUUUCAAACUUCGUUGAUGAUCUGUGUCAAGACGAAAGGUUUAGAGAAGUGAAGACUCUUGCGGGGCUUUCUAUCAAGCUUGUUGAAACAAGGAAGGACCGUGUUUAUCACAUUGUCUACAGGCUUCUCAGAUUGGUGCUAAUCCUUCCUGUAGCGACUGCAAGUGAUGAGAGGGACCUGUCUUCAGUGAAUUACGUGAACAAUAAGGCGGUAAACAAGCUAUCGGAGCAAUGCGCGAAUGAUUGCUUGGUUACGUGUCUUGAGCGUGAAACCUUUGAGCAGGUGGACGAUGCCAUCAUAUCUCGCUUCCGAGCUGUGAAUGACCGCUAG